UGGGCAGCCCGGGUGGCACAGCGGCCUAGCGCCGCCUGCAGCCCAGGGUGUGCGGUCGCCCGGGAAACACCGACCCGCGGAACAGACCGGGCGGGCUGCGGCUGCCCUUGGCCCACAGCGCUGGCCGCGACGCCGAGGACCGCAGGCCCGGGGCGGCCCGUCCACCCCCGCGGGCUCCUCGCCGCGCCCGCCCGCCGGGACGCGGGGCUGCUCGCAGGGGCCCGGAGCUCGGGGCCCAGGACCACAGGGACGCCCGGCGGCCACCUAGGGGGGCGCCGAGCAGGGGACCCCGCCCCCGAGUGCAGGCGCCCCAGACCGCCCGCGGCCUGCUGUCUGCUCGGCCCGUCCUGGAUCCGAGGGGGCUCUAGGCGCCCGGGGGCUCCGCGGCGGAGCACCUGCCCCAGCUCGUGGCCCCGGGCCCGGGAUCGAGCCCCGCGGCGGGCCCUACGCAGAGCCUGCUUCUCCCUCGGCUGGUCUCCGCCUCUCUCUGGGUGUCUGGGUGUCUCGGGGUGUCUCGGGGUGUCUGGGUGUCUCAGGGUGUCUCUGAGUGUCUCCGGGUGUCUCUGGGUGUCUGGGUGUCUCUGGGUGUCUGUGUCUCUCGGUGUCUGGGUAUCUCUGGGUCUCCGCUUUUCUCUGGGUGUCUCUGGGUGUCUGUGUCUCCCAGUGUCUGGGUAUCUCUGGGUCUCCACCUCUCUCUGGGUCUCUGAGUGUCUCUGGGUGUCUGGGUAUCUCUGGGUCUCCACCUCUCUCUGUGUCUCUGUGUCUCUGUGUGUCUGGGUAUCUCUGGGUCUCGGCCUCUCUCUGGGUCUCUGGGUGUCUCUGGGUCUCUGGGUGUCAUAUAAACAAAUACAUGGGAAGGUCAGGUCAGCGCCCCCCGCUGGGGCCCGGCUCACUGCUGCCUGGAUCUCUUGGACUCCCCAGAAGCACAGGGACGCCCCCGGUGCAGCCCUUGUGGCCCCAUCUGGGUGUCAGGACAGUUCCCAGCAAUGGCCCCGGUCCCAGUCUCCCCAUCCCCCCACCUGCCCCCCCACACACAGCAAAGCGGGGAGCACUGCACCUGCCCCCACUGACGUCCCAAGGAGCCUCCCCCCACCGCGGGUCACCUGCCGCAGGAGGCGGGUGCAGAGGAAGGAUGCGGCCUGUGCUUCUAGGAUACGCCCCGCAGGACCCUUGGAGACCCUCGGGGACCCUCGGGGACCCUUGGCCGCCACCCAGGGCCAGGUGGAGGCUCCUGAGGCCACAGCCCCGCUUCCACACACCACAGCAACUCGGCUUCUGCCCGCUGGCUGGUGGGGAAGCCUCCGGGGAAGAUUGUAG
rnacentral:lncRNA from 12 species